GGGUUGUGAGGUUAAGCGACUAAGCGUACACGGUGGAUGCCCUGGCAGUCAGAGGCGAUGAAGGGCGUGCUAAUCUGCGAUAAGCGCCGGUAAGGUGAUAUGAACCGUUAUAACCGGCGAUACCCGAAUGGGGAAACCCAGUGUGACUCGUCACACUAUCAUUAACUGAAUCCAUAGGUUAAUGAGGCGAACCGGGGGAACUGAAACAUCUAAGUACCCCGAGGAAAAGAAAUCAACCGAGAUUCCCCCAGUAGCGGCGAGCGAACGGGGAGGAGCCCAGAGCCUGAAUCAGCAUGUGUGUUAGUGGAAGCGUCUGGAAAGGCGCGCGAUACAGGGUGACAGCCCCGUACACAAAAGCGCAUGUGCUGUGAGCUCGAUGAGUAGGGCGGGACACGUGGUAUCCUGUCUGAAUAUGGGGGGACCAUCCUCCAAGGCUAAAUACUCCUGACUGACCGAUAGUGAACCAGUACCGUGAGGGAAAGGCGAAAAGAACCCCGGCGAGGGGAGUGAAAAAGAACCUGAAACCGUGUACGUACAAGCAGUGGGAGCCCCACCACUAAGCCAGUGGUGAACUCCACAUACGCAUCCUUUGCUGAAGGCAAUGGUUAACGGAGCGAAAGCGACGUUCAACCGCAAAACAAGCAGAGGGGGCUUAGUGGUGGGGUGACUGCGUACCUUUUGUAUAAUGGGUCAGCGACUUAUAUUCUGUAGCAAGGUUAACCGUAUAGGGGAGCCGGAGGGAAACCGAGUCUUAAUUGGGCGUUAAGUUGCAGGGUAUAGACCCGAAACCCGGUGAUCUAGCCAUGGGCAGGUUGAAGGUUGGGUAACACUAACUGGAGGACCGAACCGACUAAUGUUGAAAAAUUAGCGGAUGACCUGUGGCU
rnacentral:rRNA from 1 species